AUUUAUAGCCAUGCCACCUUGACCACACCCAGGCUUCUUGAUCUUGGAAGAUGAGCAGGCAGGGUCUGGUUAGCAGUUGAAUGGGACAGCCAUGAUAAAGUGACAGAUUCCUAAGAC
rnacentral:rRNA from 1 species